rnacentral:lncRNA from 1 species
UUCCCAUAAGGUUCAAUGUAAAUAAAGUUAAUCUGUUCUGAACCAUAUCUAUUUUUUAACCACAAAAACAUGAAACAAAGUACAGUAUAGUAUGAAGAGUGGGCACACUCACCUUGCUUGAGGUGACUGCUGGUGUGGAGGCCAGGAGAUGUGGGAGGAGGUUAUUACUUGGAGGGAGAGUCCCCUCCAUUAUGACAUGAGGGAGACCUCCUUCAGGGGUUUCCUCUCUUCCUUGUCUCUUAGCUGCAGGGUCAGUUUUGAUGAAAAAGCUGUCUAAUGUCACUGGUUUUUCCUGUGCUGUGCAUAACCCUCCGGAAAUGAGAGCACACCAUUGCUCAUCAGAUUCAGCACUCUGCUCCUUACAGUUACGUUGGGGUGGGGCUCCUCAAAGAAAUCCAGGCACUCAUUCCAUUUUUCCAUAGUGGAUUUUAUCACAUCACUGUAGCCUCCUCCCUGUCUUCCUCUUCCUCGGUGCAUGCUCCUGAGCAAGAGCCUUCUGUUGCUCAUUCUGGAGUUCAGCGAGUUCUUCUGUCAUCAGCUCCUCCUUAUGGUCCUCAAUAAACUCCUCACCAUCAACUCCAGACCCAUACUUCUGCCCAUGGACACAAUCACCUCCACGACCCAUACCUCAGACCCUUCGCAGUCACCUUCAGUGGCACGUUCUAGCCACAGUGUCCUCCAGGCUGAGUUUAAGGUCCAGUGUGUGACAUCUUCCCCGGCUUUGUCAGUGAGGUUGAUGCAGUGGAGAUCACUGAGAUGUUUCUUCCAGAACUCUGUCAGAGUCAAGGACGUCUCUUCAGCGACAUUAAAACACCUGGGGAAGCCUGGACCACCGCCACCGCCCAGCCAGUGCCCUCCCAUUUCCUUCUUCGGGAGGGAGGAAAUGUCCUUCAGGUCACUUUCAGGGAAGCAGCAGGAUGUACCACUCUACUGUCGCUAGCAACAAGGGAUAACUGUGUGGCAUGAGGAAGGAGCUGUUGACUGAAAUGAAAUGAGGCACAAAAGUUGCUGAGAAGAAAGAAGAGUGAAAAAUGACUCAAGCUGGGCAGGAAGAUCUCUUGGAUGCAGGAGUUUGAGACCAUCUUGGGCAACAAAGUGAGACCCUGUCUCUUAAAACAAAUCAAAGCAAAACAAGACAACAAUAACAAAACUAGGAAGAAAAAAAAUGACUCAAGUUUAAUCAUCAGCUGAGUAAUGGUUGAAAUUGUAUGAGAGUUACUUUUCUUCCAACAUCUAAAACAAGUAUGUUUCAAAAUAUUAGAACAUGAAAACUCUCUGCUUUUAAAAAGAAAAUUCUAUUAAUACCUGGCGUGAUGGUACACUCCUAUAAUCCCAGCACUUGGGAAGCUGAAGCAGAAUUGCCAUGACUUUGAGACCAACCUGGGCUACACAGUAAUUUCAAGGCCAACCUGAACAAAAUAAUGAGAUCUCCCCAAUAAUAAAAAACCCCAAACCAAAAAUACUGUAAAUCCUGGGCCGGGAGUGUAGCUCAGGAGUACAGCCCCUGCCUGGAAAGUACAAGGCCCUGAGUUCGAUUCCUGGUACCAAAAACAAAACAAAACUAUAAGCCUGUGGUAAAAUAAUGUAUCUCAGGGCUGGGGAUUUAGCUCAGCAGUGCCACCACCUGCCUUGCAAGCACUAGGUCCUAAGUUCGAUCCCCAGUACAAAAAAAAAAAAAUUGUAUCCCAUAGUAAAAAUUAAAAUUAACUUUCAUUUAUUUGUUUUGCAGUACUGGGAAUCAAACAACCCAGGGUCUUGGACUUGCUAGACAAAUACUCUACCACUGAGCUAUAUUCCCAGCCCCAUAAAUUAGUAUUUUAAUUUGAUAAACUCAAAAUUACUAUUUUAAAAGGAGGGGGAGGGGAUGAAAAAAGAAUUAAGAUUUGUUAUGUGCAUGUAUCAACUCCUAUGAUGAACGUACUGUAAACAUUUACUAAUACAAAACAGAGGGAAAAAAGCACCUGAGGAGGAGCGCCUCUGUGUGCAGCUUCUUGAAGUUGCAGGUCAUUUACCGGUCCAUGGGCUGCAAAAGAGGUGUCGUGGUGGGGGAGGGGUUGGCCUUUAUGAUGUCAUACUCAGCGUCCAUGUCACUCACCAAGGCUGGAGGGUGUGCCGGGCACCGUCCAUCAGAGGAUGGCUCCUUUCAGGCAGUUGGUUGUCAGAUAUUUCUUAAUGGUGCAUGCAAACACCUCAUGCAGCCAUUCCAUGAACAACUGCCUUGUGACCCAAGCUUUUGCAUUGGCUCCCCACACAACAGGCAGGCUGGUCUCGUCCACAUUCUUGUUAAAUGCAUGAGGGGUCUGGGAAUGGUGUCCCAACAGUGGCCUAAUCUUCAGAUCAGCGCUUGUGCUCACACACAGCAAAAGCUUCAAUCUGUCCUUCACGGCCUUGUGCCUGGCAGUGCCUUUUCCUCCUGUGUGAUAUAGGUUCUGUUCUACAUCUUCUUCCAGAAGAGCCCUGCUUCAUUGAAGUUGAACACUGGUUGAGUGAUACAUCCUCCUGCCUUCACGAAUUCCAGGAAUUGUCUUGUAGGCUUCUGCAGCAACCUUGUCAGAACUGGAAGCCUCACCAGGUCUUAUCACACUGUGGAUGCCACUUCUCUUCCGGAAUUUAUCAAACCACCCUCUACUGGCUUUAAAUUCGCUUGUUGCACUUGUAGAGGGGUUUUCUUGUGGUAAAUCACUGUGCAAUUUCCUGGCUUUUUCACAGGUCAUACCUUCACUAGUGCUAUUACCUGUCAGCUGAUUCUCAUUCAACCACACUGACACAAGUUUCUCCACCUCUUCUUGGUUAACGUCACAACUCCUUUUGCCAUAUCAGCUCCUUUGAUGGCACCUUUAUUCUUCAAAAUAGUCAAGAUUGUCAACUUUGCCAUCUGAUUCUCUGAGACCAGAUCAGUCACACAAAUAUCACGCUCAUGCCUUUCUGCAGUUUCCUUCUUCAAUUCAGUGGUUUGGGGGUUUUUUCAAGACCUUCUUACCAUUCUUGCUCUGCACUUUCCAGUUACCUUCAUUACUGCUCUGCACAUUCUUCUCACCCUCAUUACCACUUUGAAUUUUCUUUUCACCAUCAUGCUUACUCUACACUUUAUUUGGAGCCACGCUGGAUUGAAUAAUACUGUACAAUACCAUAACUGCUUAAACGCACAAAAAACUUCACAGCAAGUGUGCACAGAGCUGUCUGCAAGCGUGAUCUCAACUAGAGGAAGCCACAACCAUGUGUCAGAGCAGGGAAGUUGGCAGCAGUCGUGUUUGUCGCCUGAUGCAGACUUUGCGAAUGGAGGCGAAUUUUUGCUGAAUGCUUCUGUUAGUGAACGGAAUUGUUGGCAAAAAGAGAUGUUCAUGAACUGAGGUAUUACUGCAAAGGAAAAAUUAGAAGAUGACUCAGAAGGCAUAAAAAUUUAUUCACUGAAAUUAUAGCAGAACUGUUUCUGAAUCUACGGAAAGAAUUCAAUAUUUAACUACAAGAGGCAUAUAAAACCCAAAUAGCCCUGACCAGAAAAGAACUUCUCCACAACAUGUCGUAAUCAACAUCCCAGAAAUUCAACAAAAGGAGAGAAUACUAAAAGCUGAUAGAGAAAAACAGCAAGUUAUGUGUAAAGGCAAGCUCAUCAGAAUAACUACAGAUUUCUCAGCAG